rnacentral:lncRNA from 10 species
GUAUUCUGAAAAAGGGUUGGACUUACUGCCACAAAAUUCUGAUUAUAGACUUGGCAGUCACUCAUUCUCUGCGUCCAGCCUUCAGCUUUUGGAGGCUGCUUUCUUCAUUUGCAAAAUGGAGACUAGAAAACAACAAAACAAGACAAAACAAACAACAAACAAAAAACCACUAAUGCAUGAGGUCUGAAAAACAAAGGUGGGAUUGCUGAGAGUGAAGGGAAGAAUAAUGAGCCAAGGUAAAUAAAAUGAGAGGUUAGGCUAAUGUAUACACCUCAGAUUCCACCCGCUUUACUCUCUUCCAUAGUCCACAACUAUAUGCUGGAGAAUGAAUUGACACUGAUCACUGAAGGAAAAGCGUAGUUGCAUGACGGAAAGGAUGACCACAAUCAUCUCACCUCUCCAAUUCAAUAACGAUCUUAAGGUGCUAUCAUAUGCAAUGAGA